rnacentral:rRNA from 1 species
UUGUUAUUUAAUUUAAAUUAUUAAAAAUAAUUAUAAAGUAAAUAGUUUUAGUAUUUUAUAAAGAAAUAAUAAGUUUAAUUAUAGUUUAUUAGUAUUGUGAAAGAAUAUUGAAAUAUUUUGAAAAAUUUUUAUUAAAAAAGAAAAUUUGAUUUAUUGUACCUUGUGUAUCAGGGUUUAUUAAAUAAAAAAUAUAUAUUAUAUUUUUUUCGAUUUUAAAAGAGUUAAUAAAUUAUUAUAGUUAUUGUAAUAAAAUUAUUAUAAAUAAUUUAUUAGAAAUGAAAUGUUAUUCGUUUUUAAAGGUAUCUAGUUUUUUAAGAAAUAAAUUUAAUUUAGUUAUUUAAAUAUUAUAUAUUUAUUUAUUUGAAUGAUAUAAAUUUUAAAUAAUAAUAUUUUAUGGGAUAAGCUAUAAAAUAAAAUUUUAAAAAUAAAAAUGAAUUAAUAUUAUAUAUAUAUAUAUAUAUAUGCUUAGAGUUAGCAAUUAUUAUUAAAUAUGUUAUAAUUUAUUAAUAUAAGAUAAUUAUUUAUUUUUUUUUUAGUUAUUUAUUAAAAUAUUUAUUUAAAUUUUUUAAAUAAAUUAAUAAUGAUAUAAUUAGUAUAUAUAUAUAAUUUAUAAAUAAAAUAGUAUGAAAAGAUUUUAUAAAGAAUUCGGCAAAUUUUUAUAUUCGCCUGUUUAACAAAAACAUGUCUUUUAGUAUUUAAUUUAAAGUUUAACCUGCCCACUGAUUUAAUUUUAAAUGGCCGCAGUAUUUUAACUGUGCAAAGGUAGCAUAAUCAUUAGUCUUUUAAUUGAAGGCUUGUAUGAAUGGUUGGACGAAAUAUAAACUGUUUCAUGAAAUUUUAUAAUAGAAUUUUAUUUUUUAGUUAAAAAGCUAAAAUUUUUUUAAAAGACGAGAAGACCCUAUAGAUCUUAAUAAUUUAAUAGUUUUAAUUAUUUAGAUAAUUUAAAUUAUAAUUUAUAAAAAUUAUUUUAUUGGGGUGAUAUUAAAAUUUAUUAAACUUUUAAUAGUAAAAUAACAUUAAUGUAUGAUUAAUUGAUCCAUUAUUAAUGAUUAGUAAUUUAAGUUACCUUAGGGAUAACAGCGUAAUUUUUUUGGAGAGUUCAUAUCGAUAAAAAAGAUUGCGACCUCGAUGUUGAAUUAAGAGAUAGUUUUGGGAGUAGUAAUUCAAAAUUCUAAGUCUGUUCGACUUUUAAAUUCUUACAUGAUUUGAGUUCAAACCGGCGUAAGCCAGGUUGGUUUCUAUCUUUAAAUAUAAUAAAAUAUUUUAGUACGAAAGGACCAAAUAUUUGAAAAAUAAUUUUUUUUAUAUAGUAGAAUAAAAUUAAUUAAUUAUAAAGC